GAGGAAUGUGGGGUGUGCCCGCGCCUCACACAAAGGCGGCGGUUGGGCGGGAGGCGCAUGCGCAGGGAGGGGUUGGCGCACCCACGUGGUGCUGGGUGAGGUAAAUACGGAGGAGCGUUGUCUGUGGGGGAGCUCGUAGCUGUGCGAGGGGGAGCGAUGGGGCUCGGUGUGCCUCAGGGGCAGGAGGUGGGGGUCUCCGCCUGAGAGGUUACUGGGGCUGCUGCUGAGCGUCCUGAGCGAGGCAGAGCCGUGCUGGCUUUGGGAGGCGCUCAGCUGGGAGCUGUGAGGCAGGCACUGCCUGUUGGCUGGGCGGAAGGGCCCUGCUGAGCAGCGCUGAGCGCUGUGCCCUUCCCUCAUGCUGCCCGGUGCGCGGGGAGCCGUGCCCUGCUCCUCAUCCCUGUGAGGUGUUCACUGGGAUCUCGUGCUUUGGCUCCCGUUACACCUACCUUAUAAACCCUACUGGCAGCGAGGCCUUGUCACCUGAAAUAAGCAAAGUUAGGCAACUCGGGGAGUGUGGGGAGGUGAGCAGCUCUGAGGUAUGGCCCUGCUGCUCCUCGUUGUGAGUUUAAUUUCUGGGCUGAGGGAAAUUAGUUUGUAAGCUAGGUGCGAGGUGAGCUGUGCCCAGCAUGGCUUUGUUGUGAACGAAUUGAGCCAAUCUCAUCUCCAUCUCUGGCAGUGCAGCAGCUUGCAGUUCUACAGCUUCUCCAGCCAUUCUAUUUCUGCACACUAGUUGGUUUUGUUGUCAUCUUUUUUGCAAGAUCAUCUCCUUUAGAGGCUUAUUGUGGAGACUGAAAAUUCUGCAGAACGUGGUGUUUCUAUUUGGAGGACAGUUCUACAUCCAGUUACUUAAUCUGAAAAGGAACAGCAGGAUAAAUAAUCACAGAGGGGAUUUGAAGUGUUGAUGUAGAAUUAUGAGGAUCAAAAAAAGAAAUGGGAAGAUGGUAUCUACCCUGGGAGUCUGGAGAUGCUCAUGCUCUUGAGUUUUGUUGCAACACAGAAAUAAAGGGUGCAUGUUGUGGUUCUGCUCCUGACACAGCUCUUUUGCCAUGCAGGAAGCCUCUGAGGAAGGUAUGAAACAGAUUGACAGUCCAGCUAUUUAUACAGGGUAUUGAAAAGUAGGAUGUGUAGGACCUGUAUGCUGCCUUCUGAGAAAAUUUGCCUUAUCUUUAAUUUUUCUUUAUCACAGGCUGCCUUUCUAAAGAUUAGAUCCAAGUUGAUGGAAGUAAUCCCAGCUGACUUGGGCAGCGCUAGGUCAGACCAUAAACCAGGUGCUGGUAUGCUUGCUUAGUACCUCUGGAAUACUCAAAGGUAUUAUCCCUAUCUGUUAAGUCAAUAACUUUGUUCUAAUAACAUUUCAGGCUUUGAUGUCCACCCUUCAGUAGAAAAAUGUGAUUUAGGGGCAUGCAGUGGAUGGAAGGUGAAGAUAUUGCCUGAACACGAGGUAGCCUUAUACAGAAAGGCAGGAUGCUCAUCCUUACUCAGGGAGAAAAUGCUAUGCAUUAAACCCAUAUCUAGCUUUGAUAUUUCUGAAGUGUCAGUUGUCAGCACAGUGCCAAUGGAGCAAUCUGCUCAGUACUGGCAACUUUUCUCCCCUCUGUGCCAAUGACAAAUGUCAUUGACUACCUAAGGGGAAACUAGCCUCCUCUUGUGUUGGAGACCUGGUAAGUGUGAGGGUGGAGUUGUGCAAUAAAUGGAAGAAGGGAUAAAGAGAGAAAAUGGAGGAAUUCCUCAGGGUGCCAUCUGUGAUGUAAAUUACCAAAGAGACAUAGAGAAAGUAGAUUUCUUCUUCUGUGGGUUAAUUUUACUAGACUGCAGUCAGUCAGAACUAACAAGCAUGCUGCUUUUCAGGAUUGUAAAAGCAAAGCAAGUGCUAACAUGUUAUUAACAGCGUUCUUCUUAUAAAUGCUGGAGAGAAAUGCUGGAAGCCUUAGGGUAUAUAUUCCAUUUACCAAUAUAAAGGGCAGAAGGGUGGAGAGGUAACCUGGAUCAGCCACAACUUUCUUUGCUUUCUCAUCAGCUUUUCAGUGCUCAGGGACGAUUUCCUCAUGCUUGUUAGUAGUAUGGUAACAAUCAACUUUUGACUUCAUCUAAUAGCAGGCAGAUUCUUCCUAGAAAAUAAAGGAGUCCUGGAUUCCCUGAAUGCAAACUGCUCAGCUCUGGGGAUUCCAUUUAUCUCAUUAAGUGAUUUGUGGCUUAGUUUUUGGUAGCUUACUUUUCUCUAUAAAACUGUGCACUACUAAGUUGACUGGAAUUCACUCCCACUGUAUGUGUGCUGUGGAACAUUAGGACCUCUCUAUUUACCUUAAUGCUAAAUGAAGGCUAAAAUGAUGAUGCAGUCUGAGGCAGGAAUAGACCCUGUUGUUUACAGAGUCCUCGAUUCUGAGUCUGUUUUACUGGAUAUCUGUGUACAUGGAGUUGAGUAUAUAUACCAAUAUUAUUUAUUUCGAAGUUAAGCUGCAGUAGCAGCAGCUGGCUUUAGACCUGACUGAAAAUGUGUUUGAUUGCAAUCUCAACAAACAAAUAUAGUCUCUGCUCCAGAAUUUACAAUGUGUGUCUUUUUAUCUCAUGGAAAAUAUGAGCUCCACAGCUUGUUUAGUGCUUACUGUUUACUGAUACAAAUCACUGGAGGACUGUUGCUGUAAAGAAAAAUAAUAAUAAUAAUAAAAAAUAAGCACCACUCUAAGGAAGAAGAACUACAAGGGCUUUAAUAGAAAGACUGCAUUCUAACAACACACUGCCCUUCAGCAGAAGAAUAUCAAGUAAAUGUGCUGUUGUGUUCUAGAAUGCUGCACAACUGCUGUGCUAUAUAGGUUUUGUAUUAACAAACCUUAAAACUCCCAAUUUGUCAUGGAGGUUGCAGUUCACCUGCUAAAAAUGUGUCCUUUAAUCACUAGUCUGUUGCAGGUAAACGUGUUGUUUGAGUUUCUAACCUAUUUGAGUAACAGUUGCAUUUAUGGCUCAGUUCUCACAACUGAUGUCCCAUAAUUGCAGCUGAGAAAUGCUUCUUGUGGUGUCAGUCCAUUCCAGAACUCGUAUUCUUUUCCUUGCAGAUGUUUGUGUGUGUAGUCUAUCCUUCAUGGAAAUGAACUGCAGGCUGUGGUGAAUGUUAAAAUAGCUUCUUAGAUCUCUGCACAGAAUGAAAUGGCAGUUGCCCUGCAGCUAACUGAAAAACAUGGCUUCAAUGUGAGAAGUAACUGAAGCACACAUUGGCAGUGGGUGGCAGAAGGGCCCAAGGUUUCAAAAGCAAACUGCAUGGGACCGCUGAAGAAACAGUCCAUUGAAAACCCACCUCAUGUAAGUUUUAGGCAAAGGUGGUCUCCAGCCCUUUCAAGCAGAAUUUCAAGUUGCUGAGCUCAUCCUCCAGCACCACUUGGUACUACUCAGGGUAGCACUUCCAUUGCCAGGAUCCAGCUCAGUAGAACAGUCCAUCUUUGCUCUCAUCAUUUGGCCCAAGCACACCUCAGCACCCAGCAAGUUCCCUCAUUCCUACUGAAGAGAUGGGAAUCCAGUGUUCAUCCUGAGUACCCUGCUACACCUUCUGCUUCCGUUUCCAUUUGCAAGAAGUGUUUGCUGCUUCUGUGGAAUUUAUUAAAGAUUUCUUUAAUAAAACUACUGUUG
rnacentral:lncRNA from 1 species